AAAAAAAAAAAAAAAAAAAAAGAGACCCUGCAGAAAUUAAGAGACAAAUUGAGAGACAAAAAGAACGCUGCAAAAAUUGAGAGACGACGGCGAAGAAUGGACUGCAAAAAAGAAAAAGCAAGAAAGCAAGGGGAGAAAAAGAAGCACUUUGCUUCUUCAGCCUCUCCCAUUCCCCGAAGCAAAAAAAUGACAGUGGAGACUCUAAAGAAGCAACCCCAAAUCCUUUCUUUCUCUCUCUCUCUCUCUCCCGGAUUAUUCACCAAGACCCACAAAGAAAGCUUGGGAAAUCUCUCUCUUCCCUGCUCAGCCGAUGGCAGUAAGUGUUGAUGCAGCAUCAACCGUUGAUCAACGCCGAUGACAAAAUCCAAGCCACGAGUGGUGGCAAUGGAAAGCCUACAACCAUCGCUAGCGCAGCGAUGACUGACGGGGAACCCACCAAAAGCAACACGCUGCAACAACCGCCAACGUCAAAUGAGAGCCAAGACGGACGCAGCAGCCGUGCGCUAUGAUCCUUGGAAGAUCAACAUCCAUGAACCACAGUAACCCCAUCAGCCAACAGCAGCAGAAGACAGCCCUAAGGCCUCCAAGACGUUGGAAUGGAUCUAACACCACCGUCAUUGUGCCUUCGCCAUCAUCAACGCCUUACAACCUGUGAGCAUGUGUUAAGGUCAAACAGCCGUGGUCGCAUCUUCAAAGACAAUCCCGCUUCCCGUAUUAUAGAAUUAAUGGUGCUAUGCACAACAGUCUCGCUGAGAAAGAAAGCCACAUGAACUCUCAAGGAACAAUCACCGCUCACCGCCGUCGCCAUCCCGAAUGCAAGAAGAAAAGUUGCUGAUCAGACAAAGAUGUCGCCCGCACUGGAAAAGAAGACUGCACUAACGUGCAAAGUGUGUCAUGUAACAAUUGCCAUCCAAAUCGCUAAUGGAAAUGAGGGUCAUUUCCUUGCUGCUAAUAAAGAAAGAAAAAAAGUAAUAAGUUGUACUGCUCUGAGAUAUGCACCUCUAAAAUAUCGGAGACAAUAAGUUAAAGGCUUCACCUAACCAAAGCAAAUGGAUCACUGUAUGCGUACAAGUUCAACGUCAAAAGAACAAGAGUAAAGCUUUCUAUAUAUAUGUUUAAAGGCAUUGAUAAAAGAAAAUGAGCUCUGUCAUUUGUUUUUAUAUUUCUAUAUGAAAGCAAGGACAUACUAUGCUAUUAUGCUGUUGUGCUACUGUGCAAAGAUCAAAGGCAGCAACAAAGUGACGGACAUGAAGACAAAAUGAAAUGUGUACAUAUGAUGUGGUUGUUCUCGAUCCAAAGACAGCACGUGAGGUGAAUUGAAGAUGGUCUGAAGUUGCAAUUAAAGUUGCAGUAUAUAAGACAAAACGAAUGCAAGUUACAAGGAACUUGAUGACUUUAAGGCUAGCCAUCUGAAGCAAAAAAAAA